UACGUAGGGUGCGAGCGUUAAUCGGAAUUACUGGGCGUAAAGCGUGCGCAGGCGGUUUUGUAAGCCAGAUGUGAAAUCCCCGGGCUCAACCUGGGAACUGCAUUUGGGACUGCAAGGCUGGAGUACGGCAGAGGGGGGUAGAAUUCCACGUGUAGCAGUGAAAUGCGUAGAGAUGUGGAGGAACACCGAUGGCGAAGGCAGCCCCCUGGGUCAAGACUGACGCUCAUGCACGAAAGCGUGGGGAGCAAACAGG
rnacentral:rRNA from 1 species